rnacentral:tRNA from 1 species
GACACUAUGGCCGAGUGGUUAAGGCGUGUGACUAGAAUCAUCUCGAGAUUGAUGUGAUCACAUUCCUUCGGGAGCACAGGUUCAAGUCCUGUUGGUGUCG